rnacentral:rRNA from 1 species
GAUGAACGCUGGCGGCGUGCCUAAUACAUGCAAGUCGAGCGAACGGACGAGAAGCUUGUUCUUCUGAUGUUAGCGGCGGACGGGUGAGUAACACGUGGAUAACCUACCUAUAAGACUGGGAUAACUUCGGGAAACCGGAGCUAAUACCGCAUAAUAUUUUGAACCGCAUGGUUCAAAAGUGAAAGACGCUAUUGCAGUAACUAAUAGAUGGAUCCGCGCUGCAUUAGCUAGUUGGUAAGGUAACGCCUUACCAAGGCAACGAUGCAUAGCCGACCUGAGGGGGUGAUCGGCCACACUGGAACUGAGACACGGUCCAGACUCCUACGGGAGGCAGCAGUAGGGAAUCUUCCGCAAUGGGCGAAAGCCUGACGGAGCAACGCCGCGUGAGUGAUGAAGGUCUUCGGAUCGUAAAACUCUUUUAUUAGGAAAGAACAUAUGUGUAGGUAACUGUGCACAUCUUGACGGUACCUAAUCAGAAAGCCACGGCUAACUACGUG